GCCUAUUGGACUAGAUAUCGUUGGCGUUGAUGCCGAAAGCUAUAGGCUUGAAUCAGAUCUAAUUGUGAACCAUAUCAUAAUUAUCGAUGAUUGAGAGUUUGAAACGGACGCUACUUGAGAGUUGGGAUGGAGUUGAGAGAACCUCAUUUCUUGGCAUGACCAAUGGGACAAAAAGUAUUUGAGUGAAAUCCGUGUUUAAU